UACGUAGGUCCCGAGCGUUGUCCGGAUUUAUUGGGCGUAAAGCGAGCGCAGGUGGUUUAUUAAGUCUGGUGUAAAAGGCAGUGGCUCAACCAUUGUAUGCAUUGGAAACUGGUAGACUUGAGUGCAGGAGAGGAGAGUGGAAUUCCAUGUGUAGCGGUGAAAUGCGUAGAUAUAGGGAGGAACACCGGUGGCGAAAGCGGCUCUCUGGCCUGUAACUGACACUGAGGCUCGAAAGCGUGGGGAGCAAACAGG
rnacentral:rRNA from 1 species